AUUGAACGCUGGCGGCAGGCCUAACACAUGCAAGUCGCGCGCGCGGCGGACGGGUGCGUAAUGUCUGGGACACUGCCUGAUGGAGGGGGAUAACUACUGGAACCGGUAGCUAAUACCGCAUACCAUCAGAUGUGCCCAGAUGGGAUUAGCUAGUAGGUGGGGUAACGGCUCACCUAGGCGACUAUCCCUAGCGGGUCUGAGAGGAUGACCAGCCAAACUGGAACUGAGACACGGUCCAGACUCCUACGGGAGGCAGCAGUGGGGAAUAUUGCACAAGGGGCGGAAGCCUGAUGCAGCCAUGCGGCGUGUGGGAAGAAGGCCUUCGGGGUGUAAAGCACUUUCAGCGGGGAGGCGUUACCCGCAGAAGAAGCACCGGCUAACUCCGUGCCAGCAGCCGCGGUAAUAC
rnacentral:rRNA from 1 species